UUACGGAUACUAUGUAUGCUCACAGUAGAAUAUGGCGACGAUUGAUGACGUCAUAUUAUAUUUCACUAGGGUACUGCGGCAGUAUACUGCCAGUCCAUAACGGAACGAUUUUUUCUACAGUGAUAGCA